rnacentral:lncRNA from 12 species
AUAGUAUGACCCUCAACAGGGCUCUUUCCCUUAGGGUUUUCGGAUUUCAUUUGUGCAAACAAGAGGAGGUGACAAGCUCUCCAAGCACCACUCACAGCUGUAGCUGAAUCCAGCGCCAUCUCGGUCUGAUCUAGAAGGGCAGAUGUGAUUCUGGAAGUGCUCCCACACCCUCUCCCAAGACCCCUCCCAAGUCUCUUGGGGCUGCAGCUGGGCCCAUCCUACAUCUUCUCAGUGGGAUGUCCUUUCAUUUAGGAAAAUAGUUUCCACAGACAGUGGCAGGGGACUGGGAAGGCCAUGGGAAUGGAAGGGGCAGGAAGGGAUGAGAUGGGUGUGCCCCAGCUGCCUGCUGGUGAGGUGAAUAGCCCCCUUGGGUCAGACAGACCAUUAACCAGCUGUUUGACCUUGGGCAGAGCUCUUAACCUUCUUGUACUUAAUAAUAGUACCUACGGUUGGGGGUUAUUAAUAGUGAGGAUAAAAUCGGGUUAAAGGGAGUGUGCCUGUAAAAUACUUGGCCCAGAGCCUGGUAUGUAGUAAGCACUCAACACUGUGGCCUAGCUGACAUGAUGACGAUGGUGAUGAUGGCCUCGGGGGCGGGGUGGGGAGAAGAAGGAUGACAACAGUCCUGGUGGACAGUAUGAUACACUAUGAGGCUCCCCGCUCCACCCUGCAUACCCGUACUUGGCUCUGCACUUCUGGUUUCUUCUCCCUGCCUGCCCUCCCGAGACUCUCCUACCUCAGCCCCACAGGGUGUCUUGGGCUGCCGGGGGCGCUCAAGGCACUGGGCCCCGUGGAUCUGAGCCUGGAAGAAGAUCUCAGUGCCCUGGACAGACGCAAUGGAAGAUUAUGCUUUUCAUCACAAAACAAACAUUCCUGAGGAUCGACUCCACCCAGGGUGUUGAUCUUGGGAUCCAUCCCCAAUAAGCCUCCGGUCAGCCCUCACCAGAGCCCGACCCGUGACAGCCAUCGCUGAGGGUGUCGAUGCCUGAGAAUGAAAUCCCAGGAGGGGUCAGAGUGCAGAGGCCAGUGAGGAGGCUGUUCUGAUUCAGCAGAGGACUGGUGAGGGCAGGGGGUG